CCUCCCUCUUUUUCAAUACCUUCCAUCUACCUGACUAGAUAUAGGUAGUAGGGCUAUAGGAGCUAUCCGAAUGUUUCAUCCCCUUAUGUAAGCGGCAGGUGGAUCACCUAAUACAUAGCUCCUCCGCGACUUCAUGAUCAAGCCAAAAUUUGUUUCUACUCAACCAAGGGAUAGUCGCGCAUGGUAACCAUUAAAAAUAAAUAUAUAGAAAUAUUCUGAAGCCCAGAAAAAACUAAUGUCUACUGCGGUGGUUUACCCGCACCUAAUCUCGAGAAUCGGAGACCCGCUGUUCGCCGUCUUCAUCGGCACUUCAGCCGCAUACUUGCGCAUCCGCCGCGAACAUAGAGAG
rnacentral:sRNA from 1 species